GCGCUUGUGGUGGAACGGCAGACACACCGGUUUUAGAAACCGGCGCCCAACGGCAUGAGAGUUCAAAUCUCUCCGAGCGCACCA
rnacentral:tRNA from 1 species